GGGAGUGGCAAACGGCUGAGUAACGCGUAGGAACCUACCCCAAACUCGAGUAUAGCCCCGCGAAAGCGGGGGUAAUCCUCGAUAGCCCGUGAAGUAUUUUACUUCACGGUAAAGCUUUUGCGGUUUGGGAUGGGCCUGCGUCCUAUCAGGUAGUUGGUGAGGUAAAUGCUCACCAAGCCUAUGACGGGUAGCUGGUCUGAGAGGAUGGUCAGCCAGACUGGGACUGCGGCACGGCCCAGACUCCUACGGGAGGCAGCAACUAGGAAUUGUGCGCAAUGGACGAAAGUCUGACGCCGCGACAUCGCGUGGAGGAUGAAGGUCUUCGGAUUGUAAACUCCUUUUCUUACCGAACAAGUUCUGAGUGUAGGUAAGGAAUAAGUGCCUGCUAACCACGUGCCAGAAGCAUCGGUAAUACGUGGGGCACGAGCGUUAUCCGGAUUUACUGGGCGUAAAGAGAAGCGUAGGCGGCUCAAUAAGUUUGGUGUUAAAUCUUCCGGCUCAACCGGAAACAAGCACCGAAAACUAUCGAGAUUGAGUCGAGUAGGGAAGAGGGGAAUUCCUGGUGGAGCGGUUAAAUGCGUAGAUAUCAGGAGGAAUACCAAGGGCGAAGGCACCUCUUUGGACUCGUACUGACGCUGAGGCUCGAAAGCGUGGGUAGCAAAACGGAUUAGAUACCCGUGUAGUCCACGCCGUAAACGAUCCCUGUUAGAUGUAUGUUUUGUCUGUUUAUUUUUCCUUCGGGAAGGGUAAAGGGCAAGAUGUGUGUCGUAGUUAACGCGUUAAACAGGGCGCCUGGGAAGUACGACCGCAAGGCUAAAACCCAAAGGAAUUGACGGGGACCCGCACAAGCAGUGGAGCGCCUGGUUUAAUUCGAUGGUCAGCGAAGAACCUCACCUAGGCUUGAACUGUAGCUGCACACUCCCAGAAACGGGAGAAUCCUUCGAGGGUGCUACAGAGGUGCUGCAUGGCUGUCGUCAGCUCGUGUCGUGAGAUGUAGGGUUAAGUCCCACAACGAGCGCAACCCCUAUUCAGUGUUAUAAUUACUCUGAAGACUGCCCUGUCCAAACGGGGAGGAAGGAGGGGACGACGUCCAGUCAUCAUGUCCCUUAUGUCUAGGGCUACACAGACGCUACAAUGGCCGGUACAAUGGGUUGCCAAA
rnacentral:rRNA from 1 species